GGUCUCUUAGCUCAGUCGGUAGAGCAGGGGAUUGAAAAUCCCCGUGUCGCUGGUUCGAUUCCGGCAGAGACCA
rnacentral:tRNA from 1 species